rnacentral:lncRNA from 1 species
AUGAGAUUUCUGCUCCUUUUUUUUUCUCUCCUAAAAGAUCGAUGACCUACAGAUGAACCUCCCACUAAAUUCAUCGGCUCUUUCUGGAGCUGGUUGUCUUUCUCAAAAGUCUGCAGUAAUCCUAGCAAACUAUGGUAGUUCACUAUAGGUUUCAUCAUUCUAUAAUGACUGAGAAAGGAUAGGUAAGAUUUUGGUAGCG